GGCACCCCUAGAAUAAUAUUUUAAAAUGUAGUGUGUUAAGAUAUCUUUGAAAUGAAGAGCAAAACCUUCAGUUUAAAAAGAGAUAUAGGGAACGCCUGGGUGGCUCAGUUGGUUAAUCAACUGACUUGAUUAUUACCUGAUCAUACCUGAUCAACUCAGUUAAUGAUCUGGGAGUCUUGGAAUCGAGCUUCAACAUUGGGUUCCCUGCUCAGCAGAGAGGCUGCUUCUUCCCCUGUCCCUCACCCUACUCCUGUGCUCUC